GUAAACCCCACCCGGAGCAAGACCAGACAGUGCGCGUUCGAGGGCGGCCCGCCCGAGCGCACGGGUAGGUCGCUAGAGCCGUCCGGCAACGGCCGGCCGAGAUGGAUGACCGUCCUCGACAGAACCCGGCGUACAGGCCGGCUCAUCUG
rnacentral:RNase_P_RNA from 1 species